rnacentral:rRNA from 1 species
ACGCUGGCGGCGUGCCUAAUACAUGCCAGUUGAGCGCUGAAGGUUGGUACUUGUACCAACUGGAUGAGCAGCGAACGGGUGAGUAACGCGUGGGGAAUCUGCCUUUGAGCGGGGGACAACAUUUGGAAACGAAUGCUAAUACCGCAUAAAAACUUUAAACACAAGUUUUAAGUUUGAAAGAUGCAAUUGCAUCACUCAAAGAUGAUCCCGCGUUGUAUUAGCUAGUUGGUGAGGUAAAGGCUCACCAAGGCGAUGAUACAUAGCCGACCUGAGAGGGUGAUCGGCCACAUUGGGACUGAGACACGGCCCAAACUCCUACGGGAGGCAGCAGUAGGGAAUCUUCGGCAAUGGACGAAAGUCUGACCGAGCAACGCCGCGUGAGUGAAGAAGGUUUUCGGAUCGUAAAACUCUGUUGGUAGAGAAGAACGUUGGUGAGAGUGGAAAGCUCAUCAAGUGACGGUAACUACCCAGAAAGGGACGGCUAACUACGUG